rnacentral:rRNA from 1 species
UAAGACAGAGGAUGCAAACGUUGCUCGGAAUUACUGGGCGUAAAGCGCGCGCAGGUGGUCUGGUAAGUCGGGUGUGAAAUCCCGGGGCUCAACCUCGGAAGUGCACACGAUACUGCCGGACUCGAGUACUGGAGAGGAGAGCGGAAUUCCCGGUGUAGAGGUGAAAUUCGUAGAUAUCGGGAGGAACACCAGUGGCGAAGGCGGCUCUCUGGACAGAUACUGACACUGAGGCGCGAAAGCGUGGGAAGCAAACAGGAUUAGAUACCCUGGUAGUCCACGCUGUAAACGAUGACGACUGGGUGUUUCGGGUAUUGACCCCCGAGGUGCCGAAGCCAACGCGUUAAGUCGUCCGCCUGGGAAGUACGGCCGCAAGGCUA